rnacentral:rRNA from 1 species
AGGACGAACGCUGGCGGCGUGCUUAACACAUGCAAGUCGAGCGGUAAGGCCCUUCGGGGUACACGAGCGGCGAACGGGUGAGUAACACGUGGGUGAUCUGCCUCGCACUCUGGGAUAAGCCUGGGAAACUGGGUCUAAUACCGGAUAUGACCAGGAACUGCAUGGUUUUUGGUGGAAAGGUUUACUGGUGCGAGAUGGGCCCGCGGCCUAUCAGCUUGUUGGUGGGGUAAUGGCCUACCAAGGCGACGACGGGUAGCCGACCUGAGAGGGUGACCGGCCACACUGGGACUGAGACACGGCCCAGACUCCUACGGGAGGCAGCAGUGGGGAAUAUUGCACAAUGGGCGAAAGCCUGAUGCAGCGACGCCGCGUGAGGGAUGACGGCCUUCGGGUUGUAAACCUCUUUCGACAGGACGAAGCGCAAGUGACGGUACCUGUAGAAGAAGCACCGGCUAACUACGCGCCAGCAGCCGC